GGUUAAGCGACUAAGCGUACACGGUGGAUGCCCUGGCAGUCAGAGGCGAUGAAGGACGUGCUAAUCUGCGAUAAGCGUCGGUAAGGUGAUAUGAACCGUUAUAACCGGCGAUUUCCGAAUGGGGAAACCCAGUGUGAUUCGUCACACUAUCAUUAACUGAAUCCAUAGGUUAAUGAGGCGAACCGGGGGAACUGAAACAUCUAAGUACCCCGAGGAAAAGAAAUCAACCGAGAUUCCCCCAGUAGCGGCGAGCGAACGGGGAGCAGCCCAGAGCCUGAAUCAGUGUGUGUGUUAGUGGAAGCGUCUGGAAAGGCGUGCGAUACAGGGUGACAGC
rnacentral:rRNA from 1 species